GGUGGCUCAGGGGUAGAGUGCUUGCCUUGCAUGCAUGAGGCCCUGGGUUUGAUUCUCAGCACCA
rnacentral:tRNA from 1 species